GACAGACAGACACACAUACACACUGUAAAGUCCGGGUACCAGCGGAAGUCUAAUUGCGUAGAACGUUGGUAGUCCCAGGGACCUGCAGGCGCCGAGCUUGCUCUAUACCGAUAGACACCAGGUGGCGCUAUCCGGUCAAGGCCAAAGGCAGCCACUCUGGUUUUUUCUUCUUUUUAUUUCUUUUUAUUUUUGUUAGCUACUCCCUUUCUGCUGUGGGUGUUGACGACCUUUUGCUUCUGCGAGGGCAUCUAAUCUCUCCGGAAGGAGGUGUGUUCUAAUACUGACCUGUGGCAUAACCACAAGAAUGACCCAAAAGAGAGCAGCAGAGCCCACUUUUUUCCAUUUAAGGGAGACCAGGGCAUGGCCCAGGAUGCCCUUAGGGGAAAGAAUAGCAUGAAGGAUGCCCAGUUGCAGGAGUGCCCUGGGCCUUUAGGGUGUGGUGGAAGAAAGUUGCCUGUUCUGAUGGAAGUCAGGGUUAGCUCCAUCAGUCUUCCUUCAAGACCACAGUUUGGUCAUCUAAAAGAGUGGCUUGCAUGGGGAGUCGGACUGCAGAGAUGAGGGAGAAUGUGUUUGGAGAUUGAGGCAUGAAGAAAAGUCCAUGAGAACAAGUCUAAGCUUCUCCCACCUGACAGCUGUCCUCCGGUCUGACUGUGCUCCUCUUUAACCCCAUCCCCAGAGAGCUACUGGAAACCCUGAGGGCCCUUUCUAUUAGUAGAACAGACUGGACACCUCACAGCCACCUUCUCUGCCUGAUCUGGCAACCUGGGAAGUCGCCUAUCAUGAAAGUAACAGGAACGUUCUUGUUGGGAAACAUCUGAAAAUCAGGGGCAGGAAGAAGUUGUGAUGAGCUUCUCACCUAGAAAGACUCAGUGCGGACUUCUCUUGCCUGUCAUUUCCCUGUCCCCCAUGCCUGUUUUAGGACCCUCCUAAACAGAGAGGUCAGCUCUCCAGAAAGAGAGGAGCCAUCAUCAAGCACAGAGAUAUCAGAGUGGGAAGGGAACUUAUAGAUCCUCCCGUCAAUCCCACGGCGCCGGUGAGGGUGCUACUUUAUACUAUUCUGGGUGCAAACAUACGAAAAGGAAAAGUAAAUGUUUGGUAGGACCCAGGACCAGCCAAAUUGAUUGUCCACCGUAGGCCUGGGGACCAGAAGGUAGUGAAAAGAUAUUGUCUGGUUUUGAAUGUUUUAAAUUAAAAAAAGUGUCUAUGGCACAUGCCACAAGACAACACAUCCAUCAAUGUUAGAGCACAGAGGGCGAUGAUCUCAUUAAGACUGGGAUAAGCCGGGGUUGGGGAUUUAGCUCAGUGUCAGAGUGCUUGCCUAUGGGUUCUGUCCCUAGCUCCGAAAAAAAAGAAAAAAAAAAAAAAAAAAAAGAAAAGAAAAGACUGGGAUAAGCCGAAAGGGUUCUGCCAUCUGGUUUUGCUGUCAUUACAAGUUUGUGGCCUUGCUGGUGGAAAUGGACCUACUUUCCUCACAGGAAUAUUGCAGAAUGGAUUUGUUUAUGUUGUUCUGCUUGUCCUUGAACUCAUAGAGCUCUGCCUGCUUCCGCCUCCUAAGGGCUGGAAUUAAAGGCGUGUGCCACCACUGCCCUGCGAGCUGAAAACAUUUUAUGUAUGUAAAAAAAAAAUACUGCAAUUCAUAGCAUAUAAUACUCUCCAGUGUGAGCCAAGGUGUUCCAGCAAGGGAAACGUACUCGGCGCAUGCGCAGUGAGAAGCUCGCCUUUCUAUUAUAAGGAUCGUGGCUGUAAUGAAGUCAUUAGAAACUAUGUGGAUGCGUGUUGCCAGAUACACCACAGAUUCGUGUUUUGUGUUAACUUUUGGUCUCUCCAUGCUCAGAAAACUUUUAAUCUUACCAAGAUGUUCACAGCCCCCACAUUCAGUUAUACAAUCCCAUACAGGGUUGGGACUCGGGUUUAAGGCACUGUAAUUCGAAGCACAUUUUUGUUAUUAAAAGAGAAAGGUAAGAAACAGAAAAUGAUUGAAAUGUCCCGUUGCCCAGCUGGCAGGUUAAUAAAGCUACUAGUUGCUUUGGCCCCAGCCUGUUCGGGUGAUCUCUCUGCUCUUGUGGUCCAGUGUCCUGGAAGGCCAUUCUGGGGCAACCCUUUUGCUUCUGCAACAUGGGCAUCCAAAUGCCAAGAUGGCAUGGGAAAGGGGAAAAUUCUGCAGGUCCCAACCUGAAUUCCGAGCCCACAAAUCCAAUCUCUGUCAGACCCAAGCUGGGAUCAAAUGCCUUCAAGUCCAGACUCGGCCCCAUCAGAGACGGGCAGUGGGCGCUCUCAAGACGAAAGGGAUCCCUGGUGAAUCAGGAAAGUUAUUAGGUUGGAAAGUGAUUAAAGGGCUGAGUGUGGGAGGGGAUUUCCAGCAAGAGAGACAGGCCCAAGAGCAUGCCCGGGCUGGUCAGCUGCACGGUUGCUGCCCACUUGAGGUCUGUUGCAAUAGUGCUUAUAAAAUUCAAGUCAUUAGAGGCUUGAAACUUGGGCCAGUUUUCAAGAAAGCAGAGAUCGGAGGAAACCCCAAAGCCCUGGACAAAAAGAGCUGUACAUCAAAGGGGAAUGAGGAGAUCAGAAAUGUGGGGAACAGAUCUGCUGGGGUGAGAGAGGGAGGCAGGGUGGGGCAGAACUAUGGGUGGACUCCUGCCCCAUGUUGGUGAGCUCCCUGUUUCCGAUGAACUAGGAACAAGGACCCGGCUGAGGAAGAGUCAACGAUCAUCCUCUUUCUUACCUAUAUGGCGAGUUCCUGGAGGCCCUGUGAACCAACCAGGCUUCCUUGGAAAUUGUUAUUAACUUUGCAAAACAGAGCCUGGCAGCCUUCAAUUUACAGUGGGAAGUGGAGGUGCGAUCAGGGAUGUGACUGUCCUGAGCGCUGUUGAGCUGAUGUAAUUCCUUGGGUGUCCACCAUCAGCCUCGAGCUCCUUGAGCUCCUUCCUCUCAGGGGUCCGUAGUCUUCUCACUGAUUGCUCAGCAUUAAAACCAGGGCUCUGACUCAGUAGGUCUAGGGUGGAGCCUGGAAUGUGCUUUGCCGGUGUUGCUGGACCUGGGCCUUUUAAGAACCAUUACUUUAAACAUUGGCUAUCUGUCUAAAAUGUAUGGAGUAGUAUCAAUAAUAUAUAACAAGGAGGCUUCUAGAAAUGCAUAUUCUCUGGUCCUAAUAGACUCCUGAACGAUCAACAUCUGUCCCUAGCAGCCAAAGUUUUCCAGUCCCAGGGCCAGAUACCCAAGGUGCACAGGAGAGCUGCCUCUUUAUGCUUGCAGAGGUUGGUGGAGGGGGUGAGGAGAGGGUCUGUCUGUCUGUCUGUCUGUCUGAUACUGAUAUUUCCCAGCAGGAGAUUCUGCUGUGCCCACCCAGGAAAACCCUACAGAUGCUCUUGAAGACAGCAAUCUCCAGGAAUGCAUCUGAAAUCGACCCUGCUUUCAAGUCAGCCCCGGAUUAUCCGUUUCAUAGAAAGUUCUGAGUGUAAACUGGAUGUGGUGGCGUAUGCUUGCAAUCCCAGAGCUGGGGCCACUGAUGCAGAUCUCAAGUGCUAGGCCAGCUUAGGUUACACACAGAGACUGCAUCUCCAAAAACUAAAAGAAAAAAAAAGAAAAAGAAAGGGCAAACCUCUUCAGGUUAGCCCACCCACACCCCACAGUUAUAUUGGUUCCACAUCACUAUGGAACUUUCCAGAUUUAGCCUACACAGCAGAGGUGGGCUUCAGUUCAUGUGGGGUCAUGUUUCAUACUGUGUUAUGCUUACGAUACUAAAAUAGUCCCCAUUCAACCACAAACUUUAGCCAGCUCUCUCAUUUGUUUUAUUUAAACAUAUUUGUUCAAUUUGUGUGUGUGUGUGUGUGUGUGUGUGUGUGUGUGUGUGUCCCUGCUGUAGCACAUGUGUGCAGAACCUAUGGGGAUCAGAAGAAGGGUUGGGACCCCUGAAACUGAAGUUACAGAGGUUGUGAGUCACCAUGUGGAUGCUGGGAACUGAACCUGGGUCCUCUGCAAGAACUGUAAGGGCUCUUAACUGCUGAGCUGUCUCUCCAGCCCCUCAAACUCAUUAUUAAUUGCAUACAUGUUGAUGUGUUGGGCACUUAACUAGGUUUGUAAAGGAAGCAAGUCAGGGAGAGGGUUGAAAACCUCAAGUACUAUAGAACGAUGACAAUUAAAAGAGAAAUAAUUCUGUCCUCCUCACCCUUUCCCAGAGGCACUGUUAAUGGCUGAAUCUUGGUCUUUAAUCUUUACAUUUGUGCAUGUGGUUGGUGGGGCUCUGGUCUGAUAGCAAGCACCCUUACCUGUGCUUGCUGGGUCACCUGACCUGCCUUUAUGAGACAUGCUGUCACUAUGUAGUCCUGGCCAGCACAGAACUCACAGUAUAGCCCAUCCUGCCUCAGCCUCCUAUGUGCUAGGACUACAGAUGUAAUCUGCUAGGUCUAACCAGCUUCGUUACUAUUUGAGGAGGUACACUUAUCCCUCUUUUAAUUGGUUCAUUAGCUUUCAACAGUAUCACCCGUUUCACCUCCUAAUUUUUUAGCUCUAUUUUUCUGUUUUGUCCACUCAUCCAUAACUGUUUACUGAGGCCAGCCUGGGGUGGCAGUGCACACUUCCAGCACUUGGGAG
rnacentral:sRNA from 1 species